UACGUAGGGGUCGAGCGUUGUCCGGAGUUACUGGGCGUAAAGCGUGCGCAGGCGGCUCAUUGCGCCCGGCGUGAAAGCCCCCGGCUCAACCGGGGAGGGUCGUCGGGGACGGGUGAGCUUGAGGGUAUCAGGGGUUGGUGGAAUUCCCGGUGUAGUGGUGAAAUGCGUAGAGAUCGGGAGGAACACCCGUGGCGAAGGCGGCCAACUGGGAUACACCUGACGCUGAGGCACGAAGGCGUGGGAGCGAACGGG
rnacentral:rRNA from 1 species